AUUGAACGCUGGCGGCAUGCCUUACACAUGCAAGUCGAACGGUAACAGGUUAAGCUGACGAGUGGCGAACGGGUGAGUAAUAUAUCGGAACGUGCCCAGUCGUGGGGGAUAACGUAGCGAAAGCUACGCUAAUACCGCAUACGAUCUACGGAUGAAAGCGGGGGAUCGCAAGACCUCGCGCGAUUGGAGCGGCCGAUAUCAGAUUAGCUAGUUGGUGGGGUAAAAGCUCACCAAGGCGACGAUCUGUAGCUGGUCUGAGAGGACGACCAGCCACACUGGAACUGAGACACGGUCCAGACUCCUACGGGAGGCAGCAGUGGGGAAUUUUGGACAAUGGGCGCAAGCCUGAUCCAGCAAUGCCGCGUGCAGGAUGAAGGCCUUCGGGUUGUAAACUGCUUUUGUACGGAACGAAACGGCGAGCUCUAAUACAGUUUGCUAAUGACGGUACCGUAAGAAUAAGCACCGGCUAACUACGUGCCAGCCGCCGCCGUAA
rnacentral:rRNA from 1 species